GGAGUUAGCCGGUGCUUCUUCUGUGAGUGAUGUCCUUCCUGCCGGCUAUUAACCCGCAGGCCUUCUUCCUCACUGAAAGUGCUUUACAACCCGAAGGCCUUCUUCACACACGCGGCAUGGCUGGAUCAGGGUUGCCCCCAUUGUCCAAUAUUCCCCACUGCUGCCUCCCGUAGGAGUCUGGGCCGUGUCUCAGUCCCAGUGUGGCUGAUCAUCCUCUCAGACCAGCUACGGAUCGUCGCCUUGGUGAGCCGUUACCUCACCAACCAGCUAAUCCGACAUAGGCUCAUCCGAUAGCGCGAGGCCCGAAGGUCCCCCGCUUUCCCCCGUAGGGCGUAUGCGGUAUUAGCCUGGGUUUCCCCAGGUUAUCCCCCACUACCGGGCAGAUUCCUAUGCAUUACUCACCCGUCCGCCGCUCGCCACCAGGGAGCAAGCUCUCCGUGCUGCCGCUCGACUUGCAUGUGUUAGGCCUGCCGCCAGCGUUCAAUCUGAGCCAGAAUCGAACCCUGA
rnacentral:rRNA from 1 species